rnacentral:rRNA from 2 species
UAAUUGAAGAGUUUGAUCAUGGCUCAGAUUGAACGCUGGCGGCAGGCCUAACACAUGCAAGUCGAGCGGUAACAGGGGAAGCUUGCUUCUCGCUGACGAGCGGCGGACGGGUGAGUAAUGUA